rnacentral:lncRNA from 1 species
UUUCCGAGUUCUUAGCCCAUUUGGGACCCAAUUUCAAUAAGUCUUUCUCCACACUUCUAAACACUCUUCAUGCAUCUAUAGCACUUGUAAUCAAUCAAAAUAAUUGUGUUCUACCAUAUUCUAACCCAAAACAACACUAGAUAAGUCAUUUAGUGGUUCAACGCAAUGUUUCCGAGUUCUUAGCCCAUUUGGACCCAAUUUCAACAAGUGUUUCUACACACUUCUAAACACUCUUAAUUUAUCUCUAGAACUUGUAAUCAAUAAAAUUAAUUGUAUUCUAACAUAUUCUAACCCCAAACAACAGUAGAUAAGUCAUUUAGUGGUUCAACUCAAUGUUUCCGAGUUCUUAGCCCAUUUGGGACCCAAUUUCAACAAGUCUUUCUACACACUUCUAAACACUCUUCAUGCAUCUCUAGCACUUGUAAUCAAUCAUAUUUAUUGCAUUCUAACAUAUUCUAACCCCAAACAAUACUAGACAAGCCAUUUAGUGGUUCAACGCACUGUUUUCGAGUUCUUAGCCCAUAUGGGACCCA